UAGGCCAGAGAUUGUGCAAAGCGGAUUCAAGAAAAGGAAUCCGGGAGAACAGAUGCACUUGGGAGGGAAGGGAGGGGGAGUGAAGAGGGACAAGGGAAGUAAGCAAGUGUGUGUUGGGGGUGGUGGUGGGGAGGACUUUUAUUCUCCAGUUAAAUUCGCCAGGGAGACUUUGUUACAUAACAUAUCUGUGCGUGGGGUCCCCACAGUGUUAGCCCAACCCAUCUACAACCCCAGAGGACUUCUCAACCUUCCACUUACAAAGGGCGAGAAGCAUGACUGAAAGCAACCUCCCUGAGCCUUGGGAGCGCCCUGGAUGCUCAACCGUCAGCUGCCAAGGAAACCUGAUUUUAUUUGAGCCUCCCCUCUUUGGAUGCUGGAGAGCAGGAGGCGGAGAGGACUCUGCAAGGCGCUGCGCGGCGGGACAGAGCUGAGAAGGGGUUAAGGAUGAGAAGGAUGGGGGUGGGGGAAGAGGCUGGAACUAGAGAAGUGUGGACCAGACUUCCAGGACAGAAUAUUCUUAGAGACUUUUUGCUGUUGCACCUCGUGAGCUUCUUGUUGUUAUAUUAUUAUUAUAUUCAGGCCAUUCGAAAAGGUUAGGAACCCAGAUUUAGAAAUGGGAUAAUCCGAGUCUAAAUAUUAAAAGUAAAAUCAGAACCAGACUAAUAUUUACCCAGACUACCAUAAGUAUUUCGCUUUGCAAAAGGGAAGAAAAGUGCUGGAAGAGAGCACUGGCUGCAUGACUUCGUCGGUUUUACAUUUUUCCUUGCAAAGAUACAGAGGGACAAUAAAGAUAAAAAGCAACCUUCCCGAUUGUUUAUUGUGUACCCCUCCUUUUUUUCCUGUCUUUUUAAGACAGCAAUAGCUCCCUGUGUUUCUCCAAUAAUGAGCAGUUACGGGCCUGGGACCAAAUUGCAUGCUUUGUAAUAUUCUCCUUUUUAAGUAUCUCGCCGAACAACACAAAAGGUGAAAAAAAAAGUACGUUGGAUCAAUAACCAAGAUUGUUAUUUAGAUAACGAAUUAAUCUCCCUGUUAUAAUACUUUUAUAGUGAACUUUGAACCCCUUCU
rnacentral:lncRNA from 1 species